UGUUUAUAAUUUCAUUGAGCUUGGAUUCUUGUUGUUCGGCCGCCGAUCAGAUGUAGCGCCACUUGCGUACCACCGGCCAACGCGAUCUGAAUUGUUGCGCGUCGUGGUGUACGGCGAGUCUGGUUUUGGCGCUUAUGCUAAUGGGAACGAUCCUAAGACGGACAGUGGAGCGCUUCAAUUUGAGAGUCCACAGCUACGUUCCGUGAUCGCCGGUUCAAUAGCCAAAAAGAAAUUUUGGAUGCUCAACCAUUGCUGUGAAGAACGUGUCUGGUCCUUGUAUACGGGUGAACGAAGUGGCCAGCUUGCACAUACAAAAUUUAAAUAUAAAAUUGUCCAGUAACGGCGAAGAUACUGGGUGCCCCGACCAAGAGGUGUUUUCGAGUCUGUGGUAUAUCAACGUGGUCCAUACGUGUUUGAUGCAAUAUUUCACUGUUAACUUAAUCUGUUGUGAGCAUUAUAAUCCGACAUGACAGAUUUUCAAUGAUUUUCAUUUGGAAUCCUCAACAAUGUAUGAAAAAACUGAGAUGUCAGUUAAGUGGCUUAGUUAUGGGGGGGAGGGAGAUGGGGAUUGAUACCUUAGAAGAAAUUUAUUUACACGGUAAAGAUAUAAUUUUCUUGGUUUGCAGUGUUAUAAUACAUUCACCACCCAUUAUUCAGUAGUCUAUAAAUUAUGGUCUAUUAGUCAUCAAAUUUAAUAUAAAAUAUUCAUGUCAAUCCUUUAAACUAUACCGAGAAAUAUGUCUAAAAAUGCAUUACUACAAAUCUAAUGUAAUCUUAUUAUAUAAUAAAACAAGGAAAAAAACGCUUUUCUGAAAAAAUUACUUAGCGUGCUCGGAUUUUCAAAAUAACUAUAAGA